rnacentral:rRNA from 1 species
UACGGAAGGGGCGAGCGUUGUUCGGAAUCAUUGGGCGUAAAGGGCGCGUAGGCGGCCUGCUAAGUCGAACGUGAAAUCCCCGGGCUCAACCCGGGAACUGCGUCCGAUACUGGCAGGCUUGAAUCCGGGAGAGGGAUGCGGAAUUCCAGGUGUAGCGGUGAAAUGCGUAGAUAUCUGGAGGAACACCGGUGGCGAAGGCGGCAUCCUGGACCGGCAUUGACGCUGAGGCGCGAAAGCCAGGGGAGCAAACGGG